rnacentral:rRNA from 1 species
UCCGUAGGUGGAACAAUCAGUCAGAGGUGAAAUCCUGCAGCUUAACUGUAGAACUGCCUUUGAUACUGUUGAUCUUGAGUCAUUAUGAAGUGGUUAGAAUGUGUAGUGUAGCGGUGAAAUGCAUAGAUAUUACACAGAAUACCGAUUGCGAAGGCAGAUCACUAAUAAUGUACUGACACUGAGGGACGAAAGCGUGGGGAGCGAACAGGAUUAGAUACCCUGGUAGUCC